ACCUGGUGGUGUAGUGGUAGCACGCUUCCCCGCUGUGCAUGAAAACGCGGGUUCGACUUCCGCGUGAGGUC